AUAUCUUUGCAAAAUUGCACACCUUUGCUCUGAACAAAGUAAGGAAAUCCCGGACUAGACACCAUUCUAAAAAACAGAACUUGAAACGCAUUUGCUAAAAUCUUUAACAACUAAAAUGUCCAUGUGAUGAGAUCCCAUGUGUCCUCUUCUAACGUUCUCUAGAUGAUUCAUUAUGGAGCACAUUUUUGAAAUAUAUGAAUAAAGAUGAACUUUACUUGGAAUGAGGUCAGGAUGCAUGCUGUGAAUAUCUGCUCUCCACAGAGAAAAACGUUCGCUUUGGGUGUGGGGACAGAGGGGGCCGGCUGUGAAAUUCCAGCAAAGGGGUGUGGACGCCCAGAGCGGGCGGGGCUGCUGUGCCGCCCCUGAGGCCCCGCGAGUGAGUGGCCUCAGUGUGUGUUACGUCCAGGCCCCUGCUCCUGCCUGCCCCUGGGCGUUCUCUGAGAGAACCAAUAUCCCAGAGAGACUGAGACGUUCUCAGAGCCAGCCAGUCUGCCCUGCGGGACGACACCAUUUUCCAGGCGCUGGUGCAAGUGUUUCCGUCCCGGGAAAUGCACAGGGCUCUCUCUGAGGAGCUUUCUGAUCACAACACGGCAAGCACCAGAGAAUUCAGUCUCCCCGGCGCUCCUGCGGGCCUUCUAGGACACCACAAUUACACACAACAAACAGAAACCCCUCACUUCUCAAGCCUGCUCAUGGCAGCUCCACGGCCACAUGUGCUCCCCUGAGUAAUGAACGCCCGGGUGGAGUCUGUGUUCACCAUCAGUGCCUGAGGACAAGGGCCAAGUUGUCUGCGCCCCUGACUGUGUCCGCACCUGGAGCCUGCGGGGUCUGAGGCCCUGGGCCAGGGAGUCCUCGCCGGGCCUGUGUGACCGUGACCAGCAUCCUCAGGCCUCCAGCACAGCCCAGGACUAGGAGCCCCGCCACUCCCCCACCUCUGGGGGAGCUGAUCCCCACACCCUGCCAAGGCUUCUGAAGCACAGGGGCUUUCAGAAUCUGCCCAUUUAAACCCGUUCCGCAAAACACCCCUCGUCCAUUUAGUAAGGCCAAACUGCACUAAAGGAAAACUGGACCCUUGUACCCGCCUCCUGCUUCAGUUUUAGAAUUUUCUGCAGGAACAGUAGAGCCCCGGAGUGAUAUCCGCGAGCCACUCAACCCGGACGCCUAUGCUUCUCUCCUGCGGCUUGCUGGCAACCUCCUACUCACGUUUAAGCUUAUCUUUUCGAAAUACUAUCAAUAUCUUUCUUCCAAGCCAUGGCACAAUCCGUGCCCAAUAAAUUAAACCAUUCAUUUACUAAGUUCCCUCUAUUGUAACUUUUAAGUUUUAGUAAAUUUUUAAUUUGAAGUAAAGUUUUAAUUUUAUACUAGAUUAGUUGUUUACAUACCUGUUUAUCUCAGAAAGGAAUUUCAUUUAAUUUAUAUUUUAUCCCUAGUGUUUGGUAUCCCCAAUGUUUUAGUAAUCGCAAUGUUACUAAAAGAAUGAUGAUGUGGUUAAUCUGGACAUAAAAAAUUAAAAUUUGUAUUCAAUGUAAAAACAAAUUGAGUCAAUCAGACAUAUAUUUCAUGACAAGCCUUCAUUUUAAAACUUCAUUUAUGUAUGUGUGUUUGUGGGCGUCACUGUGACCUUCCCUAGUCCUCAAAUACUCUCCCUGGCAGACACUGUUUUGCAAUAGAAAGCUCUAUUAUAUGCUUCCUUUGAAAUAACUGUUUUUUCCACUAAUAUGAUGUUUUAGAGAAAAAAGUCUGUUUGAUGAGUUUUGGGUAUUUCGGGCAGCUGUCUGGAUGGGACUUCUCAUGCCUCUCUCCCUCUAACUGGUGGGCUAUGUCCUUCUUUCCAAGGCAUGAACAAGAUGGAAAAGGAGGAAACUAUCAAGAAUGACCCCAUGUAGUGAAAUUAUUCCAACACUAAUUUAUGGGAAACUUCUGAGCCUCAAUUUAAAAAUAUUUAUAAUAAUGUGAAAUAUUUCCAGGAUACAGCAUGUGCCAAGCUGUGUCAUUUGUCUAAAAGAAACAUUCCAAUUCAUCUCGUGAGUGUUUUCACCUUUAGAAUAUGUAUUUCUUGUUAAACGCGGCUUGUUUUAAAGCUAAGUCUCAAAGAAAGACUGUGCUAAAGAAGGAGGAGGAGCAGGUGGGAGGAGAGGGGAGGGGAGAACAGGGCAGGAAGAAGAAGGAUUGUUAGAUCUGUGUCACACGUGACUUGAGUCAAUCACAGUUAAAUACACUGUAAUAGCACGCUACAGAUUUAAAUAUGAAAAGCCACCGGGGGUAUAUAUUUAACAAACAAAACAUGAAUCAAGCCCUUAGGUCUUCUCACAGCAACCACACUCUGCCAGAGUGAUGAAGCCGGCUGCAGUGUUCACCUGGCAGCGGCAAAGGACGCCUGGUCUGCCACGUGGUUCUCCUCCCAGCCUCCGCUAAAGAAGUAAUUCAGACGGCAAAACACAGCUUGUUGUUCUUACUUAAAAACCGCGUGGUUAGAGGGUGGGGCUGGGCAUCUUCUGCCUCGGGUCGUCUCUGCCAUCUCGGCCAGUUCUCAGGGGUUCCUGCUUCCCUGGGCCUCUCUGGUCCUUGCUGGCUCCCGGGGAUGUGUGUGGGUCUCCAGGGAAGUGCAGCGUGGACGCCGGCCCUCGGGGAAUGAAGGGCACCUUCAGCUGCUGCCCAUUAACCGCAUGGCCAGGCGGAUCAUCUCGUUCCAGCUUGAUUCUUAGGAAAGCUGGGUGUCUUCAUCAACUUCUCAGCACCUGCAUCUUGGACCUUCAGCCUCCAGAACUGUGAGAAAAUCAACAGGAAUUAAUCAGCCCUGUCUGUGGUAUUUUAUCGUGCCAGCCCGAGCUGCUCGAGAUGCUGAGAAAGGGAAAGUUCUCCGUAGUCAGGUCAGGAAAGCUGGUUGCAGAAAUCACAUGAAUGGUGAGUAAAUUAGUUCAGGUAAAGACGCAGGUCAGUAAGCUCUACAGAGAAACAGAACUUCCAGAAGUCCUGGAGACACACAGAAGCUUCCAGAAGUACUGACUAUUUCAUGAACACAAAACUGGAUGUUUUGUGAGCCAGACAAGGACAUGGGGAUCGUUUGAGCCAGGAGAGUGAAAAUUCAGAAAAGCAUGAAGGGCACCCAUAUGGCCCCGCCCUGCCCAGGAACACGGUCCUCUGGCUCAGCUCCCUUUACCACAGGACGGAAGAGCCAGGAGGAAGGUGUGUGCCAGCCAAACCUGUUUCUUUCAGCUGAAAAAUAAAACGCUCCUGUCCCAGAAACUGACACACCAUGUCCACUUGCAGCUGAUCUGGCAGCCUGGGGGCCAGAUCCCCGGGCUCACGGAGGCUGGGAUGCAUUUUCUCUCUGGGUGUUCAUCUGUGCCAAGCAGAGCUGGGGUCUGUGGGCGAGCAAGGAUGCCGUGUGCAUGCUGGAUGGCAGUGGGCUCCAUCUUCCUCAGGCCCCUGCCAAAAUGAGCCAUGACAGGAAAAGUUAGAUGCAUGCGAAGCACGUGGUAACUAGACGUUGGGCAACGUGGUUGACAUACUGGGGCAGUGUCCAAGCAAACGUCUGGGAGUGUUUGUUCUGUGCCACAGACAACAGAAGAGCUCACAGGGGAGGAACUGAGAGCUUCGAGUCCUGCAGCUCUUUGUGGUGCACCCGAUGAAGGCCUGGCACUGAGGCUCUGCCUGCCCGAGUCCCCCUGCCUCCUACCUGUGGCAUCAGGGUUGGGGGCCACAGACGAGGAAUCCAUGGAGCCCUGCCAAGGCACCGUGGCAGCUGUGGCUCACACCACCGCAGGAGCCUCAGCCACCGGGAGACAGCGGGGUGUAAGGGGGACUCAGGAGGUAUCAGUGCUGCUUCGCUUGUGACAAUGACACUCAUCGUUUUCCCUUUUCUUCAUCUGCCUUUACAUCUGCAAUAUUUCCUCUGUGAUAUUUGAAUUGGGAGAAACAAUUUCUUGAGUAGAUGUUCUUUAAAUUUCAUGUCUAAAAAUGACAGAUGACAGCACAAUAUUAACUUUAUCACAACGUGCAUUCCAUGGUGUGUUUUUCCCCUAACGCUGUUACUGCUAGAAAAACAUUUCUGUCUUGAUUUGAAUAUACACUUUUCUCCUGAAGCAUUAACGGCUUGAACAUUUUGAGGAAUGAUUUUCAGACUGACUAUUGAUGAAGUUACUGAACCCAUAGCUGUGCGUGUGUCUCCGUGUGUGUUUUCCAAAAGCACAUUUCCUGGGAGCAGAAACACUACAAACUGUCUCUUUCGUCAACAUCAGUACCCAAAAUAGCUCAUCAGGAUCUGAAUCAGGAAGAGUUUUAUAAGUUUUUGUUACUAAUGGGCAGUUCUUUGCAGAAGAAGAGCCUGCCACGUGGAAAUUUUCUCUUGCACUGGGAUUUGGCU
ensembl:lncRNA